UACGGAGGGUGCAAGCGUUAUCCGGAUUCACUGGGUUUAAAGGGUGCGUAGGCGGGCAGGUAAGUCAGUGGUGAAAUCUCCGAGCUUAACUCGGGAACUGCCAUUGAUACUAUUUGUCUUGAAUAUUGUGGAGGUAAGCGGAAUAUGUCAUGUAGCGGUGAAAUGCUUAGAUAUGACAUAGAACACCAAUUGCGAAGGCAGCUUACUACACAAUGAUUGACGCUGAGGCACGAAAGCGUGGGGAUCAAACAGG
rnacentral:rRNA from 1 species